rnacentral:rRNA from 1 species
AACGAACGCUGGCGGCAGGCCUAACACAUGCAAGUCGAACGAUCUCUUCGGAGAUAGUGGCGCACGGGUGAGGAACACGUGGGAACGUACCCUGUAGUACAGAAUAGCCCCGGGAAACUGGGAUUAAUACUGUAUACGCUCUUCGGAGGAAAGAUUUAUCGCUAUAGGAUCGGCCCGCGUAGCAUUAGCUUGUUGGUGAGGUAAAAGCUCACCAAGGCGACGAUGCUUAGCUGGUCUGAGAGGAUGAUCAGCCACACUGGAACUGAGACACGGUCCAGACUCCUACGGGAGGCAGCAGUGAGGAAUAUUGGACAAUGGGGGAAACCCUGAUCCAGCCAUGCCGCGUGAGUGAUGAAGGCCCUAGGGUUGUAAAGCUCUUUCACUAGCGAAGAUAAUGACGGUAACUAGAGAAGAAGCCCCGGCUAACUUCG